UUGUCCGGCCCCGCGCGCUGCAGCCACCGCCUCUUCUCGGCUUCCUCUUGCUUUCCAGUAACUCUCCUCCUGGGGAGAAGGCUUUUCACGGAGCAGGCUCACAGCCUACGGGGCUGGCCUCGGACUGGAUGGGGCAAAUACAGCCUAUGCUCAGAAUUUCUCCGACUUCCUAUCUCUGAGAUGCCAGAUGCCCAGUUCCAUGGAAUUAUGGCAAGCGAGAAACUGUCAUUCAUAAGAGUUCAAGAAAAUGAAUGUUCUCUCAACUCUGUGACGGCCAGUGGGUUCCAGAGGGUGCUCAACUUGCUGGAGUCAUCUCUGCUAUGGCUUUAUUUGCCAACAACAGAGAACUUGCUCUGCAGCAGCCCCAGGCUCUCUGGGGACCCCACAGGCUGUGCAGAUCCCCCAUCCCAGAACCACAGAAGGAGACGGAGCAGAAGCACACCCUGUCUUCCAGGCCCAGGACAGCUGCUGAGCUCCAGGACACGGACUCUUGAAGGUUGAUUUUAACUACCUACUAAGCUCCACCUGAACCAGUUCCACUUCUUUAACCUUCUUGUGAUCCCUGUGAGGGGUCUG
rnacentral:lncRNA from 1 species